rnacentral:rRNA from 1 species
CCUACGGGGGGCAGCAGUGGGGAAUAUUGCGCAAUGGGCGAAAGCCUGACGCAGCGACGCCGCGUGAGGGAUGAAGGUCCUCGGAUCGUAAACCUCUGUCAGCAGGGAAGAACGGUCACUGUGCUAAUCAGCAGUGAAUUGACGGUACCUGCAAAGGAAGCACCGGCUAACUCCGUGCCAGCAGCCGCGGUAAUACGGAGGGUGCGAGAGUUAAUCGGAUUUACUGGGCGUAAAGCGCUCGUAGGCGGUAUGUCAAGUCAAUGGUGAAAUGCCCGCGCUCAACGUGGGAACUGCCUUUGAGACUGGCCAACUGGAGUGUGUAAGAAGAUGGUGGAAU